UACGUAGGGAGCUAGCGUUGUUCGGAAUCACUGGGCGUAAAGCGCACGUAGGCGGAUUUGUCAGUCAGGGGUGAAAUCCCGGGGCUCAACCUCGGAACUGCCUUUGAUACAGCAAGUCUUGAGUUCGAGAGAGGUGGGUGGAAUUCCUAGUGUAGAGGUGAAAUUCGUAGAUAUUAGGAAGAACACCGGUGGCGAAGGCGGCCCACUGGCUCGAUACUGACGCUGAGGUGCGAAAGCGUGGGGAGCAAACAGG
rnacentral:rRNA from 1 species